CUACGGGUCGCUCCAGUAAGGAAUAUUGCGCAAUGGGCGAAAGCCUGACGCAGCAACGCCACGUGAUCGAUGAAGCUUUAAGGAGUGUAAAGAUCUGUCCUAGGGGAAGAAUAGCUCCCAGUCGAAUAGGCUGGGUGCAUGACGGUACCUUAGAAGAAAGCGCCGGCUAACUUCGUGCCAGGCAGCCGCGGUAAUACGAGGGGCGCAAGCGUUGUCCGGAUUUAUUGGGCGUAAAGGGUGCGUAGGCGGGAUUGCAAGUUAGGAUUUAAAUCCCACAGCUUAACUGUGGACCUGGUUCUAAAACUGCAGUUCUUGAGUUCGAGAGGGGGAAGCGGAAUUCCUGGUGUAGCGGUGGAAUGCGUAGAUAUCAGGAGGAACACCGGUGGCGAAGGCGGCUUUCUGGAUCGAUACUGACGCUAAGGCACGAAAGCGUGGGGAGCAAACAGGAUUAGAUACCCCGGUAGUC
rnacentral:rRNA from 1 species